UUAUGGUUAGUUUUAAUUGGAUAGAAUAUUGAUUUUCUAAGUCAUAAGAUAUAGGUUCGAGUCCUAUACCAUAGU
rnacentral:tRNA from 1 species